ACGGGAGGCAGCAGUGGGGGAUAUUGCACAAUGGGGGGAAACCCUGAUGCAGCGACGCCGCGUGAGUGAUGAAGUAUUUCGGUAUGUAAGGCUCUAUCAGCAGGAAAGAUAAUGACGGUACCUGACUAAGAAGCACCGGCUAAAUACGUGCCAGCAGCCGCGGUAAUACGUAUGGUGCAAGCGUUAUCCGGAUUUACUGGGUGUAAAGGGAGCGCAGACGGCAUGGCAAGCCAGAUGUGAAAGGCAGGGGCUCAACUCCUGGACUGCAUUUGGAACUGUCAAGCUAGAGUAUCGGAGAGGUAAGUGGAAUUCCUAGUGUAACGGUGAAAUGCGUAGAUAUUAGGAGGAACACCAGUGGCGAAGGCGGCUUACUGGACGAUAACUGACGUUGAGGCUCGAAAGCGUGGGGAGCAAACAGGAUUAGAUACCCUGGUA
rnacentral:rRNA from 1 species